GAUGAACGCUGGCGGCGUGCCUAAUACAUGCAAGUCGAGCGAACGGACGAGAAGCUUGCUUCUCUGAUGUUAGCGGCGGACGGGUGAGUAACACGUGGAUAACCUACCUAUAAGACUGGGAUAACUUCGGGAAACCGGAGCUAAUACCGGAUAAUAUUUUGAACCGCAUGGUUCAAAAGUGAAAGACGGUCUUGCUGUCACUUAUAGAUGGAUCCGCGCUGCAUUAGCUAGUUGGUAAGGUAACGGCUUACCAAGGCAACGAUGCAUAGCCGACCUGAGAGGGGGAUCGGCCACACUGGAACUGAGACACGGUCCAGACUCCGACGGGAGGCAGCAGUAGGGAAUCUUCCGCGAAGGGCGAAAGCCUGACGGAGCAACGCCGCGUGAGUGAUGAAGGUCUUCGGAUCGUAAAACUCUGUUAUUAGGGAAGAACAUAUGUGUAAGUAACUGUGCACAUCUUGACGGUACCUAAUCAGAAAGCCACGGCUAGCUACGU
rnacentral:rRNA from 1 species